AGCCAUGCAAGUCUCAGUACGAGCUGACUUAAAGUGAAACCGCAAAAGGCUCAGUAAACCGGUCAUAGUUUACCGGAUAUAUGCCACUUACGUGGAUAACUGUGGUAAUUCUAGAGCUAAUACAUGAGAACAAGUCCCGACCAGCGAUGGAAAGGACGCUUUUAUUGGAUCAAAACCAUUCGCCCGGCUCGCCCGGGCGUCUGCUUGAUGACUCUAGAUAACACCACAGAUCGCACGGUCACAGUACCGGCGACGUAUCCGUCAAAUGUCUGACUUAUCAGCUGUCGAUGGUAGACUCUGUGUCUACCAUGGCGCUCACGGGUAACGGGGAAUCAGGGUUCGAUUCCGGAGAGGGAGCCUGAGAAACGGCUACCACAUCCAAGGAAGGCAGCAGGCACGCAAAUUACCCACUCCCGGCACGGGGAGGUAGUGACAAAAAAUAACGAUACGGGACUCAUCCGAGGCCCCGUAAUCGGAAUGAGAACACCCUAAAUCCUUUAACGAGGAUCUAUUGGAGGGCAAGUCUGGUGCCAGCAGCCGCGGUAAUUCCAGCUCCAAUAGCGUAUAUUAAAGUUGUUGCGGUUAAAAAGCUCGUAGUUGGUUCUGCGUGCCACGCUGUCGGUUCACCGCCUGUCGGUGCAACUGGCAUGCCGUGGCAUGUCCUGUCGGUGGCCGACGGGCUUCGCGGCGCGCCCCACUCGCUCACGCGUGUGGGUCGACGCGCCGUGUCGUCCUCGUUGGCCGGCUCAAUCCUACCGCGGUGCUCUUAAACGAGUGUCGAGGUAGGCCGACACUGUUUACUUUGAACAAAUUAGAGUGCUUCAAGCAGGCUCUGAAAGCAGCCUGAAUAGUGGUGCAUGGAAUAAUGGAACAGGACCUUGGUUCUAUUUUGUUGGUUUUCGGAAUCCAAGGUAAUGAUCAAUAAGGACAGGCGGGGGCAUUCGUAUUGCGACGUUAGAGGUGAAAUUCUUGGAUCGUCGCAAGACGCACUAGAGCGAAAGCAUUUGCCCAGUAUGUCUUAU
rnacentral:rRNA from 1 species